rnacentral:tRNA from 1 species
GGGUUGUUAGCUAUAAUGGUUAGAGCAGGGGACUGUUAAUCCUCAGGUUGCAGGUUCGAGUCCUGCACUUCCCG